CCGGAGGGCCGGUGGCUGCGGGGCCGAUGUAUCCUUCUCGGCAGGCGUUAGAGGGGGCGGAGCUUCUCGAGACGGGGAGAGCACCGAUGGAGGGUGCUGUGACGCUGCAGCCGGUGCUAGCGGCGAUGGGGAAAGGUGCGGCUCGAGGCCUUUUCCGUCCAACAGGGAAGAGAUCGGCGAUUCGGGAGCGCGGGAGGCAUGUGCGCCACCGGCGAGCUGGGUACUCUUCUGCCGUCCUUCAUAUGUCUUCUCUGUCUCUCAUUUGUGUUCUGUGGUAGCCUGGUAGGUAUGGAGCCCUCAAGUUCGCGCGAGAUUUGCAUUCUCUGUGCCUUUUUUCAGCGCUUUGGAUUGUUUGGAGCCACAUCAGAUGUUGUUGAUGCCAGAACUGCAGAUAGCGCUGCCUAUGUGUGUUGUAGUGCUCGAUUUUUUGGGCGUUAGGUAGUUCGUCAUGCAUCUGUUUUGUGUUCUGAAGCAUGCUCAGUUGGUGAUGUUGAUUUGCAGUUGUAGGUAGCUAGCCAGCUGUAUGGGUAAUGCUUCAUUUUUCUUGUGUUAGGGUUGUAUGUAUGCCGUAAUUUGACAUCCGUUUGUUCUUAGCUCAUUUGUCCAUCGAAGAGAGAGGUCAUUAUAUUUGAAAGCGUGAAGCAGGUCGGCACUCUCCUACCCAAAACUCCAAAAGGGUGGGGUUAUUGCACUGCAAUACUGUUUGAUGAACUUGCAGAUCUUCUCCAAGGUAGAGCCUUGAGAGUUGAGAGUUGCUGCAGUAGUCCAACUUGUGUAAAAGCUAAAAGUAGGCCAUAUAAGAACAAUGUUGGUACUAUUAGUGUGGAUCUGUGCAAGUAAGAGAGAGACAUAUAUGUAGGUACAUAACUAUUUUUGCUGCUCAUGUUGAUUAUGCUUUUGCUCCCAUGUUUAUUUCUAAUUUAUGCUAAUGAUAUGUUCAGUUUUUGGAUUAGUUAGGGUUUUUGUUUGUGUCAACGUUGUGUGAGAUAGGUUACAGGUCAUGUUAAUGAUAUGGUGAUGCUAUGUUCUUGUAGAAUCUGUUUCGGUUUUUUCUUUUGUUCUUUAAUUUGGAUGUAGAUAGGCCUCCAUCAGAUGCUUGAAAUACAUAUAAAACAUGAACAAAUAGUUUUAGCAGUGGUUAGGCCUGCAGUUUAGCAGUCGUCUGUUAGUUGGAUUGAACAUUUAGGUUCAGCUGCAUCUUAAUUAGGAUGAUGUAGGACCACACAUAUUUUGAGAAUAUUCUGGAAUGGUUGUAGCUCAUUUUCUGAUUACUAGGCUGUACAUGUUGUGUUUUCGAGCUAUGCUUCCUCUCAUGUUGAGUUUCAGUGCUAUGUUUAUCAUUUUCUCUCUAAAUCAUCUUGCGAUGGGUUGUAGGCUUGUCAACAUAUAUAGUAUAUUUACCUUUGCUUGUCCGUGAGUAUUAGUUGUCCAGGCAAUGCUAGAUCAGAUAGCUUGAAGCUUUUACAAUCACAGCAACAAGGAAACUCGAGAAUGAAUCCUACUUAACCUAGUUCUCUUAUAUUACCAGAUGAGAACACACCGACUAAAGUAUUUUAAUCUUCAGUUUAGUACCUUUUUUAGUCUUCAGUUAGCAAUAAGAUUUAAAUCUUUAGAGUCCAGUUUAGUACCUUUCAAUCUUCGGUUUCCACUCCGUUUAGUUUGUUUCUUUUAGUCUUCAGUUAUGAUUUCAGUACCUUUCAAUCUUCAAUUUUCAGUUUUUUGUGUUUCAAGUAUUUUCUUCAAUCUUGAUAUUUUUCAGUCUUUAAAUCUUCAUUUCUUUCAGUCCUUCUAUAAGUCUUGUCCUUCAGUUUUCUAAGUCAUGUUCUUUCGUCUUGUUUUAGUUUCUCAGUUAUCUAAAACUGUAAAUGCAUGUUCUUCAGUUCUUUCAUUCUCUCUCGGUUAUCUAAGUCAUGUUGUUCUCUCAACUCAGUCUUAUUUUCUUUUAUUUUCUCAGUUUCAUAUGUCUCAAUCUCUUAGCCUUUUCUUGAUUCAGUCUCAUUUCUCUAUUCUUAUUCUCCAGUUUCUCAGUUUUUGUCACAUUUUUCAUUUUAGUUUCUCAUUUUCAUUUGUCUCAAUCUCUUAGCCUUUUCUUUAUUCAGUCUCAUUUCUCUGUUCUUAUUCUCCAGUUUCUCAGUUUUUAUCACUUUAGUCAUUUUAGUUUCUCAUUUUCAUUUGUCUCAUUCCCUUAGCCUUUUCUCAGGUUCUCUCUUUCUAUUUCUUCACUCAUUUUCCUUCAAUUAUUAGUUUAUAAUAUUGUCGUCUUUUGAGUUCCGUUGUUUCCUUCUCAGUUAUCUCUGUUUUUGUUCUUCGUCCUUCAGUCUUUAUUUUAAUUCUCUGUCAUGGGAAGCCUACAAAGGAAGAACUUACUAAUCUCCAGUCUAGCGUGGGAGAGCUCACUAAUCUCCGCGUUCUUCCGUGUUCCAUCCUUAAGUUACCUAUUUGUACUUCAGUAACUUUUCAGCUUGCUGCUAUGCGUCAUCUCACUCUUGUUCAUCUUCAUUAUUUAUGUCUGCAUUCUUCAUCUCACUGUCCCAAUCCGUCAGUUUGCAUUCCUGUACCCACUGUAUUAUUCGUCAACUGUAUUCAAUCGGAUGUAGUAUUACUCGCCAACCGUAUUCACUCGGAUGUAUGGCACCAGUCGCUCGUCUCCGUCAGGACGCCACCCCAGCUGCUACAUGAAUCAGGUGCCAACGGCAGCCGCUGCACUCCUCAAAGUGCAAAAAUAUUCGGUGCUUUUAGAAACUUGACAGCACCUAGGUCCACGGUGCACCGAUAUAUUUUUCCCAAAAGAAUGUCUUUCUUCAGCAAACCGCAUAACAACGGUGACCCGUAUGAGCAGAACCACGAGCUAUAUUCAUAAAAAGCUUGUUUACAAGAUUUUGCCAUCCUAGUACAGAACCACCAUGGCAAACAUGCAUGUCAUCAUAAAGAUGAGCAGACAGGAAAAUGUUGUCUUGGAGACGAGCGACUAGACCUCCAUGGCUCGCGCCGUUGCGCCACUAGUGCUCGCCAAGCUAUGCUGCAUGUCUCCCUCGGGCAGAAUCAUUGUCUUGGAGCCGUCCUUAUUCUAGAUUGAACUCUUAAUUUUACAUUUAUCAGUCUCUCUGUAAUAUUCUUUUACAAUUUUAAUCUUGAUUAUAAAUCAUCUAUUUUUAUUUUACAUCUUUAAUCUUGAAAUUCUGUUUAUAAGUUCGAAGUGAUAGUAUUUUGUCUGAAUUCUUCUGAGUAUAAUGUUGGUUCUUCA